rnacentral:lncRNA from 1 species
UUCAGUAAAUCAACUGGGCCAACAUGCGGUUCAGUAAUCAACUGGGCCAUGUCAUGUGCAGUCAGUAUAAUCAACUGGCCACGUACAGUUCCGUAAAUCAACUGGGCCACGUGAGGUUCAGUAGAUCAACUGGGCCAUGUGCAGCUCAGUAAAUCAACUGGGCCACGUACAGUUCAGUAAAUCAAACUGGGCCACGUGAGGUUCAGUCGAUCAACUGGGCCACGUGAGUUUCCGUAGAUCAACUGGGCCACAUGCAGUCAUUCGUAAAUCAACUGGGCCACAUGCCAGUUCAGUAAAUCACUGGUCCACCAUGCAGUACGUCGAUCAACUGGGCCACGUGAGGGUUCAGUAGAUCAAAUGGACCACGUGAGGGUUUUCGCCGAUCAACAUGGGCCACGUGAGGUUCCGUAGAUCAACUGGACCACGUGCAGUUCAGUUAAUCAACUGGGCCACACGUGAGGUUCCGUAGAUCAACUGGACCACCUGAGGUUCCGUAGAUCAACUGGAUCACGUGAGGUUCCGUAGAUCAACUGGACCACGUGCAGUUCAGUAAAUCAACUGGGCCCCGUGAGGUUCCGUAGAUCAACUGGACCACUUGAGGGUUUCCGUAGAUCAACUGGACCACGUGAGGUUUCGUAGACAACUGGA